UAUAACCAGCUUGUUAUAAUACAAUAUCCAUCACCACCAAAAUACAAAAUUCUGGUCAUGAGAAAGCGAUUUGUACUUUAAACUUUGUUUCUGCUGGACUACCGUCGAGGCACCGUCAAGCUACCCCACAAUGAACAGUCCAAAUAAAUUAAUUUUUAAAAUUGAAAAUUGUCCCAAUAUGCAGGUGAAUUACCGUAAUAAUUCACCUGCAUAUACCAGGGGCAGUAAGAUGCCUGCACGCCGUUGUUAUAAUUGCAUAUGGUUACGGGCAUAUCGCCCGUAAAUGCAAAAAACCGAAAAAAAAGUCGGCUAAGGCCGCCCCGACCAAUAAUAAGGGGACGCCAGUGACGGCGACGGCCAGCAGCACGGCYGUGCAGGCGGCAACGUCGACGACCGCUAACCUUACCUAACCGCCACGGCAACCACGACCACGACGACCAAAUCGGCGUCAGAAUAAUUAAAAAACUGUAAUGAAUAUUAUUUACAUUUUUAAAUUAUUUAUUUGUGGAUAUAAGGAAAUAGUCUC